rnacentral:sRNA from 1 species
CACUAGCCCCGAUGGAAGCGGCAUCCUUUGUGGGGUGGCGCGAGGCGGCGGAGCGUAGCGGAGCCGUCCGAGCGCCACAUCGCAAAGAUAAAGCGGACAGCGGGAGUCAAU